AUUGAACGCUGGCGGCAGGCUUAACACAUGCAAGUCGAGCGGAGAGAAGUAGCUUGCUACUGAUCUUAGCGGCGGACGGGAGAGUAAUGCUUAGGAAUCUGCCUGUUAGUGGGGGACAACAUUCCGAAAGGGAUGCUAAUACCGCAUACGCCCUACGGGGGAAAGCAGGGGAUCUUCGGACCUUGCGCUAAUAGAUGAGCCUCAGUCGGAUUAGGUAGUUGGUGGGGUAAAGGCCUACCAAGGCGACGAUCUGUAGCGGGUCUGAGAGGAUGGGCCGCCAACUGUGGACGGGAGAGCGGACCAGGCGUCUACGGAAGGCAGAAGGGGGGAAUAUUGGAAAAGGGGGGGAAGCCUUAUCCAGCCAUGCCGGGUGUGUGAAGAAGGCCUUUUGGUUGUAAAGCGCUUUAAGCGAGGAGGAGGCUCUUAAGGUUAAUACCCUUGAUGGGUGGACGUUACUCGCAGAAUAAGCACCGGCUAACUCUGUGCCAGCCGCCGCCGUAACAC
rnacentral:rRNA from 1 species